CAAGAGUACGUGAAACUGCUUAGAGGUUAAGCCCGAUGAACCUGAAUAUCCAUUAUAGAAAAUUCAUCAUUAUGAUUUUAAUAUUUAUAAUAUUAUAAAUAAUGGUGUGCAUUUUUUCUAUAAAAGGACAUUGUAAUCUAUUAACAUAAAUUAUAUUUAUCAUAAGAUCAAUUUCGCGUAAGUUUAUUCAAAUUAUUUUGUUUUCAAUUUAAUAUCGAAUAAAUGCAUUUGAUUUGAUAAAGUGUUGAUAGAUUUAUUAUAUAUAGUGCUUAAAUAUUUAUAUUUUAUAAUAGCAUAUUGAUCAUUGAUUUUUAUGUUUAUUAUAUGCACUUAUAUGAUUAACAAUGCGAAAGAUUCAGGAGACCUUCGGGACCCGUCUUGAAACACGGACCAAGGAGUCUAACAUAUAUGCAAGUUAUUGGGUGUUAAAACCUAAUAGCGAAAUUAACAUAACUAAAAUUAUAAUGGGAUUAGUUUUUAGUUCUAUUUUAUUAUAGUCUAUUAAUUCAAUCCCGGGGCGCUCUAUCAGUUAUGUAUAAUAAUAUUUAUAUUAUUUAUACCGCUAACUAGAGCGUACCUUGAGCAUAUAUGCUGUGACCGA
rnacentral:rRNA from 1 species